UAGGGUUUGAUCAUGGCUCAGGACGAACGCUGGCGGCGUGCUUAACACAUGCAAGUCGAGCGAUGAAGCACCUUCGGGUGUGAAUUAGCGGCGAACGGGUGAGGAACACGUGAGAAAUCUGCCUUCAACACUGGGAUAACUCCGGGAAACCGGGGCUAAUACCGGAUAUGAAACCUGCGGGCAUCCGCGGGUUUGGAAAGUUUUUCGGUUGAAGAUGAUCUCGCGGCCUAUCAGCUUGUUGGUGAGGUAAUGGCUCACCAAGGCGACGACGGGUAGCCGGCCUGAGAGGGCGACCGGCCACACUGGGACUGAGACACGGCCCAGACUCCUACGGGAGGCAGCAGUGGGGAAUAUUGGGCAAUGGAGGAAACUCUGACCCAGCGACGCCGCGUGCGGGAUGAAGGCCUUCGGGUUGUAAACCGCUUUCAGCAGGGAAGAAGCGAAAGUGACGGUACCUGCAGAAGAAGCACCGGCUAACUAUGUGCCAGCAGCCGCGGUAAUUC
rnacentral:rRNA from 1 species